rnacentral:tRNA from 1 species
GGCGCUGUGGCUUAGUUGGUUAAAGCGCUUGUCUAGUAAACAGAAGAUCUUGAGUUCGAAUCUCAACAAUGCCU